rnacentral:tRNA from 1 species
GAUUCAUUCAUCAGAUAUUAAUUCAGAAUCCCUUUUGUGCCUUCCAGAAAUCUGGACCAUCUCACAACCCCCAGAGAGUCUCAGCUACAAGGAACAAGUGAUAAUGCCAUCCCACUUUUAUAAACACACACACACACACAUGCAAUACACACACAAUCAUUUAAUCAUUUUUAAUUAUUUAAUUAUUUUUUAAAAAUCAGUGACACUUUAGCUGGGCAGGUCUAGAUAGGUCUUCUUUGCUGGGACGUGUCUUUUUCUGUCCUGGAAUACCCUAAACUUCACAUUUUGGCAGCGUGAGUUUUCCCUUUGUGACUUUCUCCUUCUUCCCUUUUUUCCUCCUUCUUUGCAGAGAAUGAGUAGCCACUGCACCUUGCCCUGCGCCAUCAAUGAGAAGAUCUGCUCUUAGUAGAGCCCUGCUUUCCCGCUGAAGGCCCUGAAAUCACCUGUGUUCCAGGCCACCCACUAAGGAUAAACAAAGCUUCCCUGAUAUGGGGAAUUAGCUCAAGUGGUAGAGCGCUUGCUUAGCAUGCAAGAGGUAGUGGGAUCAAUGCCCACAUUCUCCAAGCUUUAUUAUUUAGGUACCCAAACCCGAGUCAGUGUCUGAGAGCAAGACACUGCUCUCGGUGUCUUUGGUUCAAGACAUAGGAGCAGCAACAAUACAGGACUGGUGACAGCUUCCUGCUGGCAUUCAGUAUAGUGUAGAUCUACUGUGUAAUUAAUUUUCUGUUUCUUCGAGGAGCUGUGAAACCAAAGGACAUAUAAAACUGCUCUUUUCUCCCUGUUUCUGCCUGCAGCUUGGUCCUAAAUGUGAGACAAUUGUGAAAAGUGGAGGACAGAGCCACCUGGUUAAAUACAGCCCCAGCUUUCUGGUGAGAGGACUGAAACCAAGAUGUGUCAAGUAACUAGAAUGUGCCUGGACAGAUACUGUAGAAAGCAAAACCAUAAAGUUGUUCAUGAGCUUGUGGACGCACCUGCCAGCUGUGAAUAAGUGGCUCUAAUCCCGAACAACUUACCUAAAAAGAGCCUGAGAGCUGAACUGUGCAAUGGCCCACUUUCCAGUCCUCACUGACCACUGGGUUGCACACACUUUGGAGAUCUCUGAACAGCAGUGUCAAGGCUUUCAAAUAGAGUUAUCUUUGAAACGACAACACAUGAAAGUCUGGUUGGUACUUGGAGCUUAAAUACAAGGCAAUUGUGUGCCUGCAAAAACAAAAAUAGCAAUAUUAUCCUUAAGAUUUCAACAAGACACAGUGUCUCAUCACAUAAUCCAAAGAAGUCCAGGUUACAAGCCCCACAAUAUUCAGCAUUAUGAAAAAACAGGGAGAUCUUAAUUCACAUGGCAAAGAGAAUCCUCGAAUAACAAUAUUGAGAGGACACAGAUGUCAAAAUCAUCUGACACAUACAUUAAAGCAGAUAUUAUAACAAUGCUCCUAGAAUCGGGGAUAACAUUCGUGAAGUGAAUGGAAAGUUGGAAAGUCUCACCAAAUAUUUCGAAUACAUAAACACCAAUUUAAACUUAAGAAUUAAAAAAAUGUAUUAACCAAAACUCUUAGGGGAAAUAAAAAGCUUAAUUGGAGGAUCUCCAUAAUCGAAUGCAGAAGACUAAGGAAAAAGUCAAUGAACUUGAAAACAGAACACGAAUACCUACAUAAUCUGAACUAUAGAGAGAAAGGAGGAUUUUAUUGUCUCUGAACAGAGGCUCAGGCACAAAUAAAAAAUAACAAAUCCAACAUUCACAUUAUUGUAAUCUGGAAAGAAGAGGACAAAGUGGUCUUUGUGGGAUAAAACUUUGAACAAUUAAUAGCUGAAAAUGGUUCAAAUUUGUCAAAAGAUAUAAACCAGAUUUUUAAAGUUCAGUAAAUGUCAAUCAGGAUAAACCCAAAGAAACCCAUAGCAAGGCAUAUCAUAAUCAAACUGCUGAAAACUAAGAAAAUACAAAACAAUUUUGAAAGCAGCCAAAGGGAAAUGAAAGAGAAACUACCAAAUGAAUGAUUGUAGAUUUCGCAUCAGGAACCAUAGGGGCCAGAAAAAAUGUCAUAACAUUCGGAGACUACGGAAAAGAAGAGUGACUAAGAUCUCUGAAGAAGGGAAAAGCUAGAUGACUGGGCCACAAGAGGAAAAAAAGCAGCAAGACAGCUUGAAUGUGAGGCAACUGUGAAAAGUGCAGGGCAGAGCCACCUGGGUAAAUACAGCCCUGGCUUUCUGGUGAGAGGACUGAAACCAGGAUGUGUCAAGUAACUAGAAUGUGCCUGGACAGAUACUGUAGAAAGCAAACCCAUAAAGUUGUUCAUGAGCUUGUGGACGCACCUGCCAGCUGUGAAUAAGUGGGUCUAAUCCCAAACAACUUACCUAAAAAGAGCCUGAGGACUGAACUAAACAAUGGUCCACUUUCCAGUCCUCACUGACCACUGGUUGCACACACUCCAGAGAUCUCUCAUCCGCAGUGUCAAGGCUUUCAAAUAGAGUUAUCUGUGAAACAACAACACAUGGAAGUCUGGUUGGUACUUGGAGCUUAAAUACAAGGCAAUUGUGUGCCUGCAAAAACAAAAAGAGCAAUAUUAUCCUUAAGAUUUCAACAAGACACAGUGUCUCAUCACAUAAUCCAAAGAAGUCCAGGUUACAAGCCCCAAAAUAUUCAGCAUUAUGAAAAACCAGGGAGAUCUUAAUUCACAUGGCAAAGAGAAUCCUUGCAUAACAAUAUUGAGAGGACACAUAUGUCAAAAUCAUCUGACACAUACAUUAAAGCAGUUAUUAUAACAAUGCUCCUAGAAUUACGGGAUAGCAUUCAUGAAGUGAAUGGAAAGUUGGAAAGUCUCACCAAAUAUUUGGAAUAUGUAAACACCAAUUUAAACUUAAGAAUUAAAAAAAGUAUUAACCAAAACUAUUAGGGGAAAUAAAAAGCUUAAUUGGAUGAUCUCAAUAGCAGUAUGCAGAAGACUAAGGAAAAAGUCAAUGAACUUGAAAACGGAACAAGAAUACCUACAGAAUCUGACCUAUAGAAAGAAAGGAGGAUUUUAUUGUCCCUGAACAGAGGCUCAGGGACAAAUAAAAAAUAACAAAUCUAACAUUCACAUUAUUGUAAUCUGGAAACAUUCACAUUAUUGUAAGAGGACAAAGAGGUCUUUGUGGGAUAAAACUGUGAAGAAUUAAUGGCUGAAAAUGUAUCAAAUUUCUCAAAAGAUAUAAACCAGAUUUUUAAAGUUCAGUAAAUGUCAAGCAGGAUAAACCAAAAGAAACCCAUUGCAAGACAUAUCAUAAUCAAACUGCGGAAAAUUAAGAAAACACAAAACAAUUUUGAAAGCAGCCAAAGGGAAAUGAAAGAUAAAAUACCAAAUGAAUGAUUGUAGAUUUCUCAUCGGGAACCCAGGAGCCAGAAAAAAAUGUCAUAACAUUCAGUAAAUACCAAAGGAAAAAUACAUUAUCAACCCAGAAUGGUAUGUGGAGCAAAAGUAUCUUCCAGACAUAAAGGCAAAUAAAUGCAUUCUCAUUGGAAGGUAAAUAAAUACAUUCUCAGUCCUAGCAAAACUGCUGGAAAAGAAUUAGCAAAGGUUUGAGAUAAGAAAAGUGAUACCAGAAGGAAACUUAGAACAUCAUCAAUGAAGGAACAAAAGCAGAAAUAGAAAAUGUCUGGGUAGACAUAACAGACUAUUAUUCUUCUCUUGAGUUCCUUAAGACAAUGAGUAGCCACUGCUGUUUGCCCUGGCCCAUCAAUGAGAAGAUCUGCUCUUAGAGCCCUGCUUUCCUGCUGAAGGCCCUGAAAUCACCUGUGUUCCAGGCCACCUGCUAACAAUAAAUAAUGCUGCCCUGAUGUGGGGAAUUAGCUCAAGUGGUAGAGCGCUUGCUUAGCACGCAAGAGGUAGUGGGAUCGAUGCCCACAUUCUCCAAGCUUUAUUAUUUAGACAUCGUGUCUCCAAACACUCAGGUCUCCAAACCCAAGUUAGUGUCUGAGAACAGGAUGCUGCUUUGGUUCAAGACGUAGGAGCAGCAAUAAUAGAGGGCUGGUGAUGGCUCCCUCUUGGCAUUCAGUAUAGUGUAGAUCUACCAUGUAAUUAAUUCUCUGUUUCUUUGAGGAGCUGUGAAACCAAGGGACAUAUACAACUGCUCUUUUCUCCCUGUUUCUACCUGCAGCUUUGUCCUAAAUGUGAGACAAUUAUGAAAAGUGCAGCGCAGAGCCACUUGGGUAAAUACAGCCCCGGCUUUCUGCUCAGGGGACAGAGUUUGAGGCACUGCAGAGGAACCGGCCAAAGUAUGAGACCCAUAUAUUGAGAGUAACAGAGUGUAAAGUUCAAAAAAAUCAAAAUAUUUAAAGAUUUAUCAUGGGUCUUGAUGACAUGAUGGAAUCUCUCUACUCUCUGGACUUAUUAUGUGUGGUAAUAAAUUUACUUUUUAAAAGCCAGUUGAGUGUUUUUAAUGUUGUGGAGCUAUUGCUAAGAGUUUCCUGAGUUUUUUCCAGUAAUGUAGAGAUCUUUGUGCUAAAUAUUUCAUAAAGAAGUUUGG